GAUGAACGCUGGCGGCGUGCCUAAUACAUGCAAGUCGAACGGUCCGCAAGGAUAGUGGCGAACGGGUGAGUAACGCGUUGGUGACCUGCCCUGGAGAAGGGGAUAACAGACCGAAAGGUCUGCUAAUACCGCAUGAGCUCUGGCUAGUUAGAGAGGCCAGAGGAAAGCCGAAAGGCGCUCCAGGAGGGACCUGCGUCCCAUCAGCUAGUUGGUGAGGUAGAGGCCCACCAAGGCGAUGACGGGUAGGGGACCUGCGAGGGUGGCCCCCCACAAUGGAACUGAAACACGGUCCAUACACCUACGGGUGGCAGCAGUAGGGAAUAUUGGUUAAUCUGCGAAAGCGGGAACCAGCAACGCCGCGUGAACGAUGAAGGCCUUCGGGUUGUAAAGUUCUUUUGGCAGGGAUGAGGAAGGACAGUACCUGUCGAAUAAGUCUCGGCUAACUACGUGCCAGCAGCCGCCGUAAAAC
rnacentral:rRNA from 1 species